GAUGAACGCUGGCGGCGUGCCUAAUACAUGCAAGUCGAGCGAACAGACGAGGAGCUUGCUCCUCUGACGUUAGCGGCGGACGGGUGAGUAACACGUGGAUAACCUACCUAUAAGACUGGGAUAACUUCGGGAAACCGGAGCUAAUACCGGAUAAUAUAUUGAACCGCAUGGUUCAAUAGUGAAAGACGGUUUUGCUGUCACUUAUAGAUGGAUCCGCGCCGCAUUGGCUAGUUGGUAAGGUAACGGCUUACCAAGGCAACGAUGCGUAGCCGACCUGAGAGGGUGAUAGGCCACACUGGAACUGAGACACGGUCCAGACUCCUACGGGAGGCAGCAGUAGGGAAUCUUCCGCAAUGGGCGAAAGCUUGACGGAGCAACGCCGCGUGAGUGAUGAAGGUCUUCGGAUCGUAAAACUCUGUUAUUAGGGAAGAACAAAUGUGUAAGUAACUAUGCACGUCUUGACGGUACCUAAUCAGAAAGCCACGGCUAACUACGUG
rnacentral:rRNA from 1 species